UUGAACGCUGGCGGCAUGCCUUACACAUGCAAGUCGAACGGUAGGGGGGCAACCCUUGAGAGUGGCGAACGGGUGAGUAAUAUAUCGGAACGUGCCCAGUCGUGGGGGAUAACGCAGCGAAAGCUGCGCUAAUACCGCAUACGAUCUAUGGAUGAAAGCGGGGGAUCGCAAGACCUCGCGCGAUUGGAGCGGCCGAUAUCAGAUUAGGUAGUUGGUGGGGUAAAAGCCCACCAAGCCGACGAUCUGUAGCUG
rnacentral:rRNA from 1 species